AGUGAACGCUGGCGGUAGGCCUAACACAUGCAAGUCGAACGGCGGCACAGUAAGAGCUUGCUCUUACGGGUGGCGAGUGGCGGACGGGUGAGGAAUACAUCGGAAUCUACUUUUUCGUGGGGGAUAACGUAGGGAAACUUACGCUAAUACCGCAUACGACCUACGGGUGAAAGCAGGGGAUCUUCGGACCUUGCGCGAUUGAAUGAGCCGAUGUCGGAUUAGCAAGUUGGCGGGGUAAAGGCCCACCAAGGCGACGAUCCGUAGCUGGUCUGAGAGGAUGAUCAGCCACACUGGAACUGAGACACGGUCCAGACUCCUACGGGAGGCAGCAGUGGGGAAUAUUGGACAAUGGGCGCAAGCCUGAUCCAGCCAUACCGCGUGGGUGAAGAAGGCCUUCGGGUUGUAAAGCCCUUUUGUUGGGAAAGAAAAGCAGCAGGUUAAUACCCCGCUGUUCCGACGGUACCCAAAGAAUAAGCACCGGCUAACUUCGUG
rnacentral:rRNA from 1 species